UAUUUGGGCCGUUACAGGGCCUCUUUGAUCCAAAGUUUAGACAGGUCCGAUAAACUUGACCUAGAUUACGAACGUGGAUCAUGUAUGUCGAGAAUCGAGAUACAACAGUUCGGGUCCAUGGGCGUGACGGCGCUCUACUUUCGUACUAAACUGUCCUAACAAAGACAAAGAGUAGAUCAACUUCAAAUCUUCCCGCACUGACGCUCAGUCGCUCACCUGCUUUGGAUCUUGGAACUGCAGCAAUCUUAUCCUGAAUUGUAACUACACAUCUUAUUGUCUGAAUAACAACCAUAUUUCAUUCACUGAUCACUCCGUCAAAGUUCUAAUCGGGAAUUGAACUGCGCAACCGUAUGCUUAGGCGCAUACAUGAUUACGGUAUUGAACUAAUUGGAAAAAUGGCCAUAGAGCUGAAGACGGGCAUGAUUAUGAUGUAUAGGAGGCAGGAAACGUUUGGAGAGUUAGCUUUUUUUUUUUUUGGCCUAAUUGCUCCGAGAAGGAGCUUGAUUAAAACUUUUUAGACUCUUUGGCAUGCAAAGAAUCUCAUGGAGUGAGGUGGCUUCUUUGUAGGCAAUUAGCCAUGUUUCUUUUUCUACUGUUCUGCCGGUUGCUGCAACUGCAGGAGUCCUCCAGAUGGUUCUGUUAAUGAAACUGAACUUGGUAGACGGCCUAGACUGUGGUUUCUUCUAGGGAUGGUGUUGACUUCCCCACUCCUAAAGUGUAGAUCGGAUGCAUAAUAAAAGUAAUAAUCAGCUUCCGCCAUAGGUAAAAAGCCAUUUUAAUAUGUAUCUACUGUGUACUCUUCUUGGUGGGUAGCCCUACUGUCUUGUCAUGUUUGCAAUAGAUCUGUUGAAGUCGAAAUCAAUCGUGAAUCUGUUGGCCCUGAUUCUGAACUAUAGCUAUUUUAUUUUAUUUUGUUAUUGUUGUUAAAUUUUCA